GGGGGUGUCAUGGUUUCGACUGAAAAAAGUAGGAUGGCAUGGCGUGCCGGAGAUGGAUGGUUAGCUCCGUUAACAAUCUAUCCGAUGUCAUGAAAUGGCAAAAACAAAAAGGGAAAACUGGUUAAGGGGUUAUUCGGCCGCAAGGCUCGCAUGGCUGCUUAACCGGUGAGGUUGUCAGGGAUGGCAGCCCGUCGCGUCAUUUGACGGUCCGCUAGGAUGGCGCGGCGUCUGGUAGCGGGCGAGGACGUGGAAGGCGCGCUUCCCCCACGUUUUGAUUAAGGCGCUCGUCCCGUGGGAAUUUGCCGUUGGAAUUCCAGGGGAUCAGAUGCUAAGCAUCGGCUACACACGUAGAUGUGCCAUCUGUGGGUUUUUAGGACGUGGGUUCGACUCCCACCACCUCCACCA
rnacentral:tmRNA from 1 species